rnacentral:rRNA from 1 species
ACGAGUAAAGUGGCGGACGGGUGAGUAAUGCAUAGGAAUCUGCCCAGUAGUGGGGGACAACUCGGGGAAACUCGAGCUAAUACCGCAUGUGUCUUACGAGACAAAGACUUCGGUCGCUAUUGGAUGAGCCUAUGUCAGAUUAGCUUGUUGGUGGGGUAAAGGCCUACCAAGGCUACGAUCUGUAGCUGGUCUGAGAGGAUGAUCAGCCACACUGGGACUGAGACACGGCCCAGACUCCUACGGGAGGCAGCAGUGGGGAAUAUUGGACAAUGGGCGAAAGCCUGAUCCAGCAAUGCAGCGUGUGUGAAGAAGGCCUGCGGGUUGUAAAGCACUUUCAGUAGGGAAGAUAAUGACGGUACCUACAGAAGAAGCACCG